GCACAUGCGCAGAAUCAUCGUUGUGCGCGGCUCUCCCUACGCCUCCUCGGUCGCAGUCCUCCUGCUGCUUUUCUUGCGCGUGCGUGUAGCGCUUUUGCAAAGCCGUGGAGGUGGAGCGAGCGAAGAGGCUGUGGGGCCGAGGGUCCACAGAUAGCUAUCAGUCCCCAGGCAUUUAGUCUACGUUGGAGGUAAACAAAUACGGGUCCAGCUUAGGGAAAAAGAAAAACAUCUUACAGCCAGUUUCUAAACUUCAAACAACGGAAUGUGUCAAUGAGACCUUGUGUAUGGAUACACGUGCAUUUAAAACGGCCCCGCCAGCGUGUAGCUCUUGCCGUUCGCCAGCGCUUUACAGGUGUUAUCGCACUUAGGCCUCGGAACAACUUUACCAGAUGAGAUCAUCUGAGGCUCAGAUUAAGAAAUCUUAAGUCUUAUAACUGGGCCAUUUCCAACAGGCUUGUCUAUGUGCAUUCCAUUCAGGAUUGAGACCCUGGACAAUGGACAGCGUUGCAGAUGUUGACCGAUACAAGCAUGCUGUCAGCCACACAAGUGAGAACUGUUAAAUACAAGUCUUUCUUCACAAGAAGAAUGAUGGGUAUUUUUAAAACUUGGAAUCAAGUAUAGUUUUCAUGAGCACAGUAAGAGAUGAUUCAUGAGCUGAAUACAGGAUAUAGUAGUCAUUUCAGAAAUGCAUAUUUAAGUUAAAGAAAAACCUCUUAAAACAUUUGUUGAUAAUAUUCAACUUUAGUAGAGGUUUUUUUUCCAUAAAUUUAAAAACUGUAGCAAAAUACUCAUAAAGUGUAUCAAGUUAACCAUUAUCAAGUAUACAGUUCAGUGGUAUUAAAUACAUUCAUAAUGUUGUAACCAUCACCACCAUCCACCUUCAUAACUAGUAGAGGUAUUAAUGUACCAAUGUUGAAUAGUCAUCAAAAUCACUGCACCUCAAACUUUUUCACAAAAGUAUGGUUAAUAGCAGAGAAGACUGAACAAUUGUCUUAACAACUUGGUUCCAAGCCAGAAUUUUCUUUAGCUUCAUGUUUUAUCUUAAAUUUAAUGUAACUAUAGUGCUAUAUACCAAAUGUGCCUAUAUUUAGUAAAAUAUAAU